AUGGAGAGAGUAACAAAGGCGUUGAUGAUGCUGAGCCUUUUGCUGGUGAUUCUUGGUAACGUGGAAGGAAGGAUGCUGCAGGAGAGUGUGAAACAUCCAGAGACUUUCAAUCUUGGAGGAGGGAAUGGUAGGUUUCCAAGCACUCCUGGUAAUUUUGCUGCAGGUGUAGGGUUUGGUCCUGAUGGGUUAAGGUUUUGCACCUUCCCUGGUGGGUGUACUAAUGGUAUAUUUCCCAAUAUCCCUGGAACUAGUAUUGGAAAUGGAGCUGGAGGUUUAGUACCGCAUCCAUAG